AUCCAGCUGACGAGUCCCAAAUAGGACAACACGCGUGUCCUAGAU
rfam:Schistosoma mansoni, Puerto Rico, WGS project CABG01000000 data, contig: 0010